AUUAAAAGUAUUUAUAUAGUAAUUUAUAUUUAUUUAUUCAGUAAUAUAAAUGUAUUAGUACAAUAAAUUUUAUGUAAUUUAAAUCUUUAAGUCAUAUUCUUUUUAUAAACAAUGUGCAGGUGGUUGCACCCCACAACAGGUGGUUGCACCCCAAAAAACCACAUGAAAGUAGGAGAGCCUAGAACUUUUUUCUUGAGAAAAAUAAUAUCUUUUAAGUUAUUACUAUUGAAAGAUAAGCUUAAAUGGGGUUCUUCCUGAUAGGUAUGGUUUAAUAUGUAUCGCUUGUAUUCUUUUGCCUGUUGUUGAAGCUGACUCUUUUUUUCGCCAUGCACUCCAAAAAUUACAUUAACUAAUUUAGUUAUAAUUUCUUAACUGUUAAGAAUUUUAACCUGAUUUUUUGAAGAAGAUUGUUAUAAUAAAUUGUUUUUAGGAUGAUUGCAUCACUGCUAACUUAUAUUUUAUAGAACACUUCAAAUGUACUACAAAAACCACAUCAUAUGCACCCCAAAAACCACGUUGGUUUUUGAUGAUUAUGGAAAAGAUUUGAAAUAAUUUAAUAAAAUGUUUAUAUAGUUUACUCGAAGAUGUAAAUGGGAGGGGACAAGCAGCAUUAAAGGCUGGUAUGUUUUCUCUUAUCAAAGAUAGAGAAACAAUCAACAGGCGAUUAGAUGGAAAAGUGGUUAAUGGACAAGAAAGAAGUUAUUGUACAGAAAAUGAAGAGACAUGUAUUGUUCGUUUUAUAAAAAAUAAAAACAGGUCUUUACAAGCAAUUAAUAAACAGGAAGUUACCAAGUUAAUUCUAAAUGUGGUACGUAUUAGACACCACACUAAUACAAAGAUGAAAGGUGGAAGGAAGUUUCACAAAUUAUCAAUAAAUGCUCGAGCUGCACUGGAAAAAAGAAAGUACGUUGAAACUAAAUAAUUAAACUUACAAUGAUCCUAUGAAAUCUAAAUAGGAUUAAGUCGAUCAUUUUGGCUUUGCUUUAAUGCUAAACAUAGCAGUCUUACCCUAAAGCGACAAGGAAGAGUGUCUAUAAACCGUGCACUGAAUUGUUCAAAGGAAAUGGCAAGUAAUCAUUUAGGUAUCAGUUUGAAAAUUUUUAUAAAUAAGUAUAAUGUAUAGAGAAAACAGAGAAUGUGUCACAAUUCAACGAUUUGUUUCAUUUUCAGGUAUGCAAUAAUAUGUGGUUUAAGAAAAAAUGUAUAAAUAAUAGUACUUGCUUAAAAUGAUUUUCUAUUUUUAUUUUAAGAGGAUAUAUGUAUGUGCUAGGUGAUUUUUAAAUGUACUGGUAUUAAAAGUUGUAUGGUUCCGACAGAAGCAGCAAAUAAAAUUCCACAUUUGUUGGUUACGACAUCAGAAAAUGGAGUAUCAAACCAUGAAUCAUUCUUGGCAGCAUUGAAAGAAUUUGAUGUCUACUUAAAUGAAUAAAAUGUUAAGCGACCCAUCAUUUUAUUGUCAGAUGGACAUAGCUCAAGACUAGACUUUGAUGUUUUAUCUUUUUUUGAGUUGAAAAAAUUUGUCUCUUUGUCACUCCAUCAGACACAACAGGAGUUACUCAACCUCUUGACCAAGUAAAUAAGAACAUUCAUAGCGAGUAUCGUAAAAAGAAAGACUUUAUGUUUUCAGCUAUCUGCUCCUUAAAUAAAGAAGCUUUCAUGUUAGUUCUAGCUAAUAUAUGGGGCAAAUGGGCAACCAAAGAAACUAUUAUAAAAUCUGCUAGAAGACAGUAAACAGUGUGUUAACUGCAGUUGAAUCCAUAAAAAGAAUCAAAGAAAAAAAGUUAAAAGAAAAAGAAGAUGCUCCAAAAAAAAAUAAGAGAGUUAAAAAACUUUUUAUUAAAUGUAUGCUUCAAUGUAAUUGUGGAGACAUAAAAUGUAAAGCUUUCGGCUUGAAGCAGUGUCCAACCUGUCGUAAUGUUAUGAAGUCUGUUUGCAGCAAAGUAAAUUGCAAAGUAAAUGGACAAAAUCCAGAAAUGAUCUUAUUAGCAGGUGCUAGAAAGAAAUGAACCAAUUAUUUUAAUGAGAUAUUUUUAUAAAUUUUGUGCAAAUUUAGUGAAAAAGAUUGAUUCUAGUUAA